rnacentral:rRNA from 1 species
UACCAGAAUAAGAAGGUCCGGCUAACUUCGUGCCAGCAGCCGCGGUAAUACGAAGGGACCUAGCGUAGUUCGGAAUUACUGGGCUUAAAGAGUUCGUAGGUGGUUAAAAAAGUUGGUGGUGAAAUCCCAGAGCUUAACUCUGGAACUGCCAUCAAAACUUUUUAGCUAGAGUAUGAUAGAGGAAAGCAGAAUUUCUAGUGUAGAGGUGAAAUUCGUAGAUAUUAGAAAGAAUACCAAUUGCGAAGGCAGCUUUCUGGAUCAUUACUGACACUGAGGAACGAAAGCAUGGGUAGCGAAGAGGAUUAGAUACCCUCGUAGUCCAUGCCGUAAACGAUGUGUGUUAGACGUUGGAAAUUUAUUUUCAGUGUCGCAGCGAAAGCAAUAAACACACCGCCUGGGGAGUACGACCGCAAGGUUAAAACUCAAAUGAAUUGACGGGGACCCGCACAAGUAGUGGAGCAUGUGGUUUAAUUCGAAGAUACGCGCAGAACCUUACCAACACUUGACAUGUUCGUCGCGACUUUAAGAGAUUAAAGUUUUCGGUUCGGCCGGACGAAACACAGGUGCUGCAUGGCUGUCGUCAGCUCGUGUCGUGAGAUGUUGGGUUAAGUCCCGCAACGAGCGCAACCCUCACUUUUAGUUGCCAUCAUUAAGUUGGGCACUCUGAAAGAACUGCCAGUGAUAAGCUGGAGGAAGGUGGGGAUGACGUCAAGUCCUCAUGGCCCUUACGUGUUGGGCUACACACGUGCUACAAUGGCAUUUACAAUAGGAAGCAAAACGGCGACGUUAAGCAAAUCCUAAAAAAAUGCCUCAGUUCGGAUUGUACUCUGCAACUCGAGUACAUGAAGCUGGAAUUACUAGUAAUCGCGGAUCAGCGCGC